GGCUCAAGCCGUUCCCCUUGCAAUUGAUCCAGAAAUUAGGCUCCUUUGUAUGACAUCUGGGCCACGAGCGAUUAACUUGGACAAACCGGUUGAAAGAUCGGUAUGGUCGACUAGAGGGGGGUGAAUAGGAGACUAACAAAUUUUAGCUUUUUUUUUUCUUUUCUUGAAAGAUACAAACACUUAAUCCUAGGGCUUUCUAGAUUCUUUAAAGUGAAUGCAACCCUAGAAUGAAAUGCAAUAGCCCAAGCAAUAGCCAAAGCAACAAUAGAUAUCACACGUGGAGACAAAGAUUUCACUGGAGUUCCA
rnacentral:lncRNA from 1 species